rnacentral:rRNA from 1 species
GUGGGGAAUCUUGCACAAUGGGCGAAAGCCUGAUGCAGCGACGCCGCGUGAGGGAUGAAGGUCUUCGGAUUGUAAACCUCUGUUAAGCGGGAAGAAAUUUCUACAAGUAAUAUCUGUAGAAGCUGACGGUACCGCUAGAGAAAGCUCCGGCUAACUUCGUGCCAGCAGCCGCGGUAAUACGAAGGGAGCGAGCGUUAUUCGGAAUUACUGGGCGUAAAGAGCGUGUAGGCGGUUAAUUAAGUCGGUUGUUAAAUCCCCCGGCUCAACUGGGGAAAGGCGAUCGAUACUGGUUAACUAGAGGACAGAAGAGAGAAGUGGAAUUCUCGGAGUAGCGGUAAAAUGCAUAGAUCUCGAGAGGAACACCAGUUGCGAAGGCGGCUUCUUGGUCUGUUUCUGACGCUAAAGCGCGAAAGCGUGGGGAGCAAACAGGAUUAGAAACCCGUGUAGUCC